UGCAGUCGAACGGCAGCACGGGGGCAACCCUGGUGGCGAGUGGCGAACGGGUGAGUAAUACAUCGGAACGUGUCCUGUAGUGGGGGAUAGCCCGGCGAAAGCCGGAUUAAUACCGCAUACGCUCUGCGGAGGAAAGCGGGGGAUCCUUCGGGACCUCGCGCUACAGGGGCGGCCGAUGGCAGAUUAGCUAGUUGGUGGGGUAAAGGCCUACCAAGGCGACGAUCUGUAGCUGGUCUGAGAGGACGACCAGCCACACUGGGACUGAGACACGGCCCAGACUCCUACGGGAGGCAGCAGUGGGGAAUUUUGGACAAUGGGCGAAAGCCUGAUCCAGCAAUGCCGCGUGUGUGAAGAAGGCCUUCGGGUUGUAAAGCACUUUUGUCCGGAAAGAAAACCUCCGCCCUAAUACGGUGGGGGGAUGACGGUACCGGAAGAAUAAGCACCGGCUAACUACGUGCCAGCAGCCGCGGUAAUACGUAGGGUGCAAGCGUUAAUCGGAAUUACUGGGCGUAAAGCGUGCGCAGGCGGUCCGCUAAGACAGAUGUGAAAUCCCCGGGCUUAACCUGGGAACUGCAUUUGUGACUGGCGGGCUAGAGUAUGGCAGAGGGGGGUAGAAUUCCACGUGUAGCAGUGAAAUGCGUAGAGAUGUGGAGGAAUACCGAUGGCGAAGGCAGCCCCCUGGGCCAAUACUGACGCUCAUGCACGAAAGCGUGGGGAGCAAACAGGAUUAGAUACCCUGGUAGUCCACGCCCUAAACGAUGUCAACUAGUUGUCGGGUCUUCAUUGACUUGGUAACGUAGCUAACGCGUGAAGUUGACCGCCUGGGGAGUACGGUCGCAAGAUUAAAACUCAAAGGAAUUGACGGGGACCCGCACAAGCGGUGGAUGAUGUGGAUUAAUUCGAUGCAACGCGAAAAACCUUACCUA
rnacentral:rRNA from 1 species